rnacentral:rRNA from 1 species
AACGCUGGCGGCAGGCCUAACACAUGCAAGUCGAGCGCGCCUUUCGGGGUGAGCGGCGGACGGGUUAGUAACGCGUGGGAAUAUGCCCUUUGGUACGGAAUAGCCUCUGGAAACGGAGAGUAAUACCGUAUGAGCCCUUCGGGGGAAAGAUUUAUCGCCAAAGGAUUAGCCCGCGUUAGAUUAGGUAGUUGGUGGGGUAAUGGCCUACCAAGCCUACGAUCUAUAGCUGGUUUUAGAGGAUGAUCAGCAACACUGGGACUGAGACACGGCCCAGACUCCUACGGGAGGCAGCAGUGGGGAAUCUUGGACAAUGGGGGCAACCCUGAUCCAGCCAUGCC